GAACACCCCUAGUUGGCAACACUGGACCAGUUCGAUCAGCUGGGGGUCAGGUAAACAGGUGUGGUGUCUAACAACCUCACUAUUAACUACUACUCAACGAUCAUUUACCUGAUUUACUUCAUGUAGAUAAUUCUUGAGCUGUUAAAGAUUUUAGUCACUGACAAUAAAUGCUAGCCCACAGAGCUUUGCGACUGUUUCUAGUGGUUGGAGUGUAUUCGCAAUCUGCUUUACGUUCCAUCAUGGCUUGGAGGUCUCAUGGACGCGAUAAUGCUGAUAUGGUUAGGCAUCUGAAAGCCAACCAGAUUAUCCGCUCUCCUGAGGUAGAGCGCGUGAUGUUGAGAGUUGAUCGAGGAUUGUACUCUAAGCACAACCCAUACAUGGACUCUCCACAGGGCAUUGGCUAUGGUGUUACUAUCAGUGCACCUCACAUGCAUGCACAUGCCCUAGAAUUGCUUAGUAAUCAUCUUAAGAAAGGUAAUCGUGCCAUGGAUGUUGGCUCGGGCAGUGGCUACCUUACUGCUUGUAUGGGUCACAUGGUUGGUGAAACUGGCCGAGCAGUAGGAAUUGACCACAUAAAUGAACUUAUCAAAUUUUCUCAAGAUAACAUCCAAAAGGAUAGUCCAGAGUUGUUGACAUCUGGUGUUGUCAAGCUUGUUGUUGGUGAUGGGCGAUUAGGCCACACAGAGGAAGCACCGUUUAAUGCUAUCCAUGUGGGAGCCGCUGCCCCGACUCUACCCCAGGCUCUGGUUGAUCAGCUCGCUCCAGGUGGACGUCUCAUUAUUCCAAUUGGUCCAGAAGGAGCAAAUCAGAAUUUAGAACAGAUUGACAAACUGGAGGAUGGGAGCAUCAAACGACAAGUGUUGAUGGGCGUCAUCUACGUUCCUCUCACCGAUAAGGACUAUCAGUGGCCCGGCAGAAUUUAGCCUACUGGAAACAGCAACUUGGGGUUUCAUUAGCCUGCAGGAGACACCAUCUUCACCUAUAGGAUGCGAGGUGGAAAUACUAACCUUGGAGGAGCAUAGGUGUGGCAGGAGUGUACACCACGCCAUUUGUCUCAUUCCACAGACGGGAGCUGUGAGUCACGCCAGCUGAAUCAUAAUUCCUCGCAGGUGCUGCUCCCUCCUUUAGUUGCCACCUCCGACUGCACCACCACAGCCACCUACCACUACGCCUACGCCCGCACCUCCACCACGCCUACGCCCGCACCUCCACCACAGCCACCUACCACUACGCCUCCGCCCGCACCUCAGCCUUACAAAGCCGCUUCCUAAAAGCCUGAUUUGUUUAUUAACUUUUUGCAACUGUUUACUACCAAGACCUUCCUCUCACAGGUUCAUACUAAGAAAGGAUUGGCUUUUAUUUUUUAUCUUGUUAAUAUGAGAGGGAUUGAGAAGUCCUUCACCUUAGGUGUGAUUGUGGCGAUGAUAUAAUAACAGUACUACAUUAUUGCUUAGUUAUAAUCAUUCUGUGAGGAAAUUAAAAGGGAUUUGAAUAAGAUUACUGUAGCCAGUAUGAUUGAUGUCAUUGAAUGGUGCACAUUAAAUAGAUUGUAAUUUACUACAUUAAUACUCAGUAACCUUGAAAAAGACCAAGAUUAGCUUACAGAUAUGACAUGCUCCAUAACUUUUAGUGAUUGCUCAAGGCUGCUUUGUGUAGUUGCAUCUUGGGAGUCUCUGCUUUUCAGGAUAUUUUCCAAACACCAGACAAACUAGCAAGAACCGUGGGAAGAGUGGCUGUCUUUGAGUAAUGGGUAAAUGGGGGAAAAUCUACAGAGAUUGGUAUGGUUUGGGUUCAUGUUCCCCCAUACUGCAAUAUAGAAAGGAAAUCCUAUUUAGAUGCCAAUAUAUUGUAUUACAGUACAUAUAUGGAACCAUGUUACACAGGAGUUACCAAUGUUGUGUUAGUGAGAUUGUAAACAACCUAGACUGAAGAUGAACUACAAAGAUUACUGUUAAUCAUCCCAACAGUAUUUUAUCAACAUACUGCACUUCUGUAAAGUUAAUUUUCAGCUGUGGCACAGGCCAAAAUUCAAAGGAGCUCCUCUAAUGCUUAAUUAAUCAUAGGCAUAAUUUUUUUAUCCUUUAGCAAAGUAAUAGGAGAGAGAAUGAUGGAGAUAUGGAGCAAAUAAGUGUUUUUGGUGUUAGAACAGUAUAGCUAAAGUGUAUUAUUUUAUGUGUGCAAAUUACUUGUAAGUCAUUUUCAUUUUGAGGAUCUUAUUGUUGCUAAAUAGUUGUAAGGUCUCUUCAGCUUUAGAUAUUAGAGUUUGUUUAGCUUGUAUAUACUGUAUAUUUUAUUCACCAGUGAAUGGAAUCAGAACUGUAAAUGCUGAAAGUUUACAAAAUGCAGUUUUUUUCACAUUUGUUAUGAUUGAUUAAUUUGUGUACAUUUUUUAUAUAUUACAAAGGUCAGGUUUAGAAGCACAUUCAGGUCUUCUGUAAAUAUAAUAUGAUUACAGUACUACAUAAUUUAGUAUAACUAUCUUUCAAACAUAAUGCCAUAACUUGAAGGUUUGCAGUGACAAGAACUAAAACAGAAAUAAUCUUUAACUUCAUUUUUAUAAGAAAUAUGUAAACAGGAAAUAAUUUUUUGAGAUGUUUGUAGACUUUGGUUUUUCAAGCACUGAUAUAUUUUAUAUACAAAUCAAACAAAUAAUUAGUGUUAAAUUGUUUAUUUUAUGCCAUAAAUGAGUCACCCCUGAAGUAAGGAAAUGCCAAAUUUUUAGGUUCAGUAAGUACUUUGCAUAUACAGUACAGUCGAAUCCCAGUUAUCCGGUAUUCAAGCAACCAUUAGAUUCAACUAACAGGCACCAAAAUGAAAUAAUAAUACUGUACAGUAAUACUGUAAUUGAAAUAAUAAUUCCCCCAAUAUCAGUAGGGUUUGUAAGUUUGAAUACAGCACACAAUGGGAUGAGCUGCCAUAUUUAAUGCUAUGAUAAACAAUAAAAUUGAAACAUAGAAUAUAAAAUACAAUACUGUAGUACUGUACAUAUAUUAUGAAAAAAAUAUAACUUCUUCCUCACUCAAACCAUCAUCUGGGCAACAUAACAGUUCAAGCAGUCACCCAGCUGACACACAGAUAUGUGGCUGCCUUGCUGGCUGUGUGUAUAUCCUAAAAUGGAUUAGGGCAUGUUUACAGGAUGGGAAAUGGCGAGUAAGCAUUAGCAGCACUUAAUCCAAUUUGGGAAACAUCACUAGUGGAGUACCCCAAGGCUCAGUACUCGGACCAAACAUAAUCAUUAACUCGAAUACACUAGAUAGCUUCAAACAUAGGCUGGAUGGAUAUAUGAGUGAUAGGGGCUGGGUGUAAAUGGGACUGCUCAGUAUGGGUCAAUAGUUACUGUUUCCUCCACUCUUAUGUAUACCAUGACCUCACAUCGGGAGGGAGUGCGGCCACAUAUUUAUAGCCCAGUAACCCACAGCCUCCACACACAUUCACUUCCUACAUAUACACACUCAUGCUCUUCAUUUUUCUUUUUUUAUAGUUUUAUAUUAUAUUUUCUUUAUUUAUAAGCCACAUCGUCUAUAUUGAGUGGCAUACGUGCUAAAGAAGUCUGUUUUUCUGAGAACAUGAGUUUGUGAGGUCAGCCUGUAGCACUAUGCAUUGUAGGAUUUAAUGGGGGAUCCUAAGAUUGAGAUUCAACUAACAGGAAAAUUACUUUAUCUAGUACAGUACCUCUCGACCCCUGUAGGUGUCGGAUAACUGGGAUUCUACUGUAAUUAUGUAGAAGUUAUUAAAUUAUUUUCCAGCUGAAUGUCGUGGCUUGUGAAUUUACAUUGACUGAAGCAGAUUCUCUCAUGAGUAUACGUACAGUAAUUGGAAUAGCCAUCGGCAAAGGCAAGAAAUGGUAUUGUACCUGGGAUAAUGCGAGUACUGAGGCUGUGAUGAUGUUAUAUUUAGAGUCGAUUCAAUAUUUCAGAACAGAGAGCUGAUUAGACAUUGUUUAUUUUGUGGAAGAUUCAAUUGUUGAAUUGGAUAUCUUGUGUUAGGAGAUAGUCUUUUAUUUGUCCAUAUCUCAGAUGUACAGUACUGUGCUUUUCUGUACUUAUAAUCUAAGGAAGGAGUACAGGUCAAUGAAGUACAAGGUGAAGUGGUGCUUUGCUGUUUGUGUCAAACUUUUUUAUUGAGCAUGAUUAAUCUUGGCAAGGGUAUGUAGUGGCUCCAUAUGGCCCACUGCUUUAAACCAAAUAAGAGUCCUAACAUAUAAAUUAAUAAAUAUUGAUAAUUUCUUCCUGGGAAACAGUAUCUCUCAUAUACAAUACUGUACUUAAUAAAAACUUGACCAUAUUAUUAUUGUUUCUGUGCUUUGCAUUGCUGUGUAAUUGAGGCUAAUGGCAAUUAUUUACUGAAGACGGUGACUUAUAGCUUUUCAAAACUAAUUUAUCUUUUUUAGCUACUGCAAAUGUUAUGCCAGUUAUAAGUAUGAACAUAGUUCAUUUGCAAUGGAAAUAGAGCUUUGUUACCAUUAGUCUGAAUGUGUAUUGUCAUAAAGAUUUUGUGCAAAUUCAAUAUAUACAGAUAAUAUGCAUAUUUGUGUUACACUUGCUGUAUUUGGUCCAUAUUCAUAAAUGAUACAUGAAAAAGUGCUCACUAGCUUAGAUCAAUAAUGGCUGUUCCCAGACUUAAGUAUAAUGGAUUCAGAGGUACAGAGGGCAAGUCACCUAGCUAGGCCCCAACUGUCAGACUAAUUGUAUUUAAAACCUUAAAAUGAAAAUGAGGUCCUCACACUGUUAGAAGAAUUUUCAUUUUUGGUACAACAAAAAUGAGAAAUGAAUACUAAGGUUGCAGAGGUUCAGUACUGGUUGUCCCUGAGUUACAAACUCUCAUCUUAUGAACAACUGCACUUAAAAUGGGAUUCCAAUAUAUUCAUCACAAAAUCUGUUAUUAAAUUUGGUUUUGUACAUUAAUUUUAUAUUGUUUAACAUCACUUUAUUUACAGUAUUUAUGGAUAACCCGUUCGUAACUCGGGGACUGUCUUUAUCCCGUACUACUCAUCCCAGCAUAUUUUUAAAUACCAUGUAUGUACUGUAUAACUGUACACACUUGUACUGUAUAGUCCUCCUUAUACCUGGCACUUGUAUAAGAACUGAUGAGCCUUUUUAUUAUAUUUAAUUAGGUACACAGAAAUACCUGUACUCGGUAAAUAACACUCUUAAUACCAUUAAUGUUUCUGUAUUUAAUUUAGAAUUAUGAAUGGCUUCAGAUAACUAAAAUAUUGAAACAAACAUGAAUGACAGGUCUUAUGUGUGGCUAAGGUUCUCCAUUGACAGUUAUACUUUGAUUGUAUCAGAGGUGUGCACAGGUGGAAAAAUUUAGGUAGAUUUCCUCCACUACAACCAGCAGAGAAAUUUAGAGAUAGCUGUGAGCUGUGAUGAAGGCUCUAGUGUGGUGGCUUUUAUUCAGGGAUUUUUGUUCUGUUAUUUUACAAGUCAGAAAUGUAGUUAUAUUUUGCUGUUGAUGGUGUUUACAAUGAUUAGGUGCAGGGAUAACUUGGUUACAGAUUUUUUUUUCAGACUUUAUAUUUAUCAGUCUUGUAAAUAGAAUAAAAAAAUUAAGUAAUAAAUUUCCAGUGUUAGAGGAAAAAGUAAAUGAUUACAUCCACUCAAGAUUAGCUCAUACAUUGACAGGUUUUGUAGCAAAUAUUGUAUUUGGCAUUACAUACUUUAAUAAAUAAAUAAAGUACAGUUUCAGUUUCUACUGUGAUGUAAUUUUAGGCACAAAAGUAAAUGACUGAAUUGAUAUGAAAAAAAUGGUAAAUGAUCACAUUGUGGAUUUGUUUUUGCUCUGAAGAAAAUAAAGGAUGGAAAGUAAACUUGGUGUAGAACUAUUUUAUAUAGUAAAAACCCUCUUAAUCCGGACUAAUAGGGGAGAAAUCCAGUCGAUAUUAAGCGAAUUUCUGGAUAAAACUAUAUCCGGAAGGGGUUUAUUAAAUUCAGAUAAAGCUGAGAAAAAUCUGGAUGAAAAAUCCAAAUUGCCAUCUGGGGCACAGGAACUUCUAAUAUUGUAUUACUAGCUUUAUUUACAUGCCAGUUGUGCUGCUUUGUGGACUAAUUACAAUGUCUUCUAAAGGCAAGACAACUUAAAAAGGAAGUCAGAAGAGGACCAGAAAGAAGUUUGGCUUGAAGGACAAGCUAACAGUUCUGGAAGAUCACAAGAAAGGUGUGUCUGCAAAAGGUUUGAUGGAAAAAUAUGACUUGAAAAAUCAAUCGACUACGAUCUUAUCCGGAACAAAGAUAAGGUGAAGAUGGCCUCACGGGAAACUGAAGCAGCUGUUGGUCAACAAAUAGUGUUUUGUGUGUGAAAUGCUGCCUUUGGUGAUUUGGACCAGGCAGUGUACAAGUGGUACAGCCAACAGCAUGCUGAAGGUAUUUUGUUUAUUUUUGCCACCAGGUGGGAAGAUCGUGACUCAAUCUGGUUUAACAAAUUAGUCCAGAGUGGUUUGCCUGUCUGGAUAAAGCAGAAAUUUGGAUAAAAAGAAUCUGGAUUAAGAGGGUUUUUAUUGUAUACAGUAUGCUACUAUACAGUAUACUUAUAGAAUUUCAAUGUUCAAUGAAGUGGGCCCAACAGGUUAAAUUAGUACAGUAUCACAAAAUUGGUUAAUUAUGGACAGCUCACUGAAUUUAUGACCUUCCCUCAUGACAGAUACUGUAUUCAAGCUCUGUGUUAGCUUUUUGUUAUAUAGCUGGAUGGAUGUGUAGGUUUUUGAUGAUAAAACUACUGUACUAUGAUAGGAAUAUGAAAGCACAAUGUUUAAGCCAGUGACAAACAAGUUUUUGAAAUGUGCAUAGUGUGGCUGUGAUAAGAACAUGCUUCAUUACUUAUCUUUAAUUAGUGCAGUGUUACAGUAUAUGGUGACAGUAGGUUGCAGUACUUGAGAAAGGCUGGGACUUUGCUGACUGAGAGCUGAAGUGUGUCACUGCUGGUAGGCUGCAUUCAUAUACUGUAUUGGGGUGGUGGUUUGUGCUAGUUGGGAGUGGUCAUUAUUUCAUAUAAAUUUGCUAUGAGUUUUAGAGGAGCACGGAGUAUGUGAACCCUGAGCUGGGUUGACAGUACUUGUAUGAAUUUCUACUUGAAUUGCAUCAGGCAACACAACCCUCUUUUUGCCUAAACUUGAUCUAAGGUUUUGAGUUUGCAUGUCUAAGUGUACUGGAUUGUACAGUACAGUACUAAGUUUUUGCUGAUAUGAAUACUUGUACUAUUGUUUUUUUUCCUGAAGAAUAAUUUAUAAUUAGUGGAAUCAUUUCCAUUCACAACUGAUGGAUAACAAAAGAUUUUAGAGUGUGCAUCACAUUGAGUUGAUAAUAAUUCAUCAAACUGAAAAUGAAUUGUAAAAUAUUGGAAGCUUAUUCCCCCAGGUACCAUGCUGCCACUUUGGGUGUGGAAGGAUUAUCUUUUCACAUUUGUAUAUACAGGUAGAAAGAAAAACUUUAGGAGUUUCUCUGAUAUUUCUGAUAUGUUCCUGCUGUACAGUGUGUGUGUGUGUCAUUACAAGUGUAUUUCAUUAUGUGGAAGGUGAAUUUUCAAGGAAUUAUCUGAUGUGUCCUUUCAAUAUAGGUUUAAUUAAAAUGAUUUAGCUAUUUGCUGUUAGUGUAGUGUUUGUAUUGAUCAUCAUAGUAUACUCUCUUGAUGAAGCAAAUCGCCAUCUUAAUUCGUUGUUUCCUAAAAAUUUUGGUUUGCAAAUUUUAUCAGUUUCUUGAAAUGUACAUAAUGCCUAAGGUAGUCCUAGAAGUGCCUGGACCUGGUAGAUGUUAGUCAUAUGCGCUAAUUAUUUUGUGGUGGUAUUUAAUAUAUCAUAUCUUUAACAUGAUUGUGGAUGCUUUUGUAAGUUCAUCUGGUUCAUCAUGGGGUGUAUGUAUUGUAGAGUGACAGUGUAUAGGUACAUGAAUUGAUGUUCCUAUCUUUGAUUUUCUUCUAAGUCCUGUGAUCAGUUAGCAAGAAAUGAAGGACACUGAUGAUGUGAUUAUGUACUGAAUUUUUACAAUAUAACUGUAAAGGCUCAAGACAGUGCAGUUUAUUUUAUUAUGAAUAGUUUAUUAGCCAAACUGAAAAAUGUAAUUGUUAUAAUGAUGGAAGUACACCUAUAACACUAUUGUUCAUGCAGUAUGAGAUUUAUGUGAAGGUUUAAACUUGUGGAAAAGAAUUCUUGGUUCAUAGACUGACUGUGAAGUACCUGGUAAUAAUAAGUUAAGAAGUUAUUUUGUUCUGGAUGCUUGUAGAUUGAUCUUAACAUAAUUAGUGUAAGGAACCAUUAUAUUGGCCAAAUGAAUCCUGAUAAUGGGGGGGCUUCAUUCCUAUUUGACAUGUAAAUCAACUUUGUAUAAGAAUAAUAGGCAACAUUCUUUAUCAAGUAUAGGAAACAUUUAGGUUUAAGGAUCCCAAAAUAAGAAUUGCGUGUUUGACUUGGUGCAGUAUAUCACACUAAUGUGGGAAAAAAUGGCUCACUAGUGUUGCUGCCUGUGCCUUCAAAAUGUGACAAUUUAUUCCCAGUAAGUAAAUUCGAAAUACAGGUAUUGUCAAACGUCUUUAUUACUUCUCACACCACAAACAGUUUGUAACAGUGUAGGUACAGAACUUGGUUAUUCAGUCUUUUCAGUAACAUCAGCUUUGAUAAUCUAAUUAUAUUUCAUUAUACUGUUUGUGCAGAAUCCUUCUCAAAUCUCUAGCUACAAACUGUCUUGAAGUGUUAAAGAGGCCCAGCAACAGUGCUGAAGAAGCCGACUCUUUUAAAUCCCUAUUUUUGUAAAUGUAAUGGUUAACUAAAAACCAGGUACCAUUAAAAGAAAGAUUAUACCUGUACAGUAUAUACAAAGAGUACUGAAGAAUUCUGCAUGUUGUGAUGACCAUAUACUGUACCGUAAGUGAGAAAGUUGUUGGCUGCUUUCCCCUCAAGAGAUAAAAGUACACUUGAGACUAAUGAGCAUACGAAGCCAGUACAUACAAGGGGAAAGGAGUAAGUAAGGAAAUAGUAAAACGGAAGUAAAAAAAAUUUAACAAAAUAAAUGAUCUUUUAAGGGUGCCAUAUUAUGACAAAGAAUAAUAUCAUAGUUUUACCUCCUCCAAUAUUUGUAGGAAACAUUGUAAUGCAGUGUUGUAUCUUCCAGCAGUUGAUGCGGUACCUAAAAUAAGAAUUUUAGUAUAGAAGAAUUGGUGCCAGUACACACACAAUAAUUCCUGGCUUACAAGAGUCUAAAUUAUAUACAGCACUUCUAAUUGUAUUACUGUACACAGUCUUAGUUGAAGCUGAUGUAAUAGCACCAAAAGUAUUUUGAAAUAAUGUUUUUUUUUUUGUUUUUUUUUGCAGUUUUGAUAUAUUUUACAUUAACAUUCUGACUGUAUUUUGAAUCCGUGGUUUCAGAUUAAGUAUUAAUCAGAUAUUUAUGCUAAAGCAGAGAAAGCAAUGUGGGGUCACUACAUAAUGGAAGAAAAUUGCAGCAAUUCAGCAUUUUGCUAUGUGACAUUUAUUAAAUUAAUGCACUGA
rnacentral:misc_RNA from 1 species